rnacentral:rRNA from 1 species
GAUGAACGCUAGCUACAGGCUUAACACAUGCAAGUCGAGGGGUAACGAGAGGAAAGCUUGCUUUCCUUGUCGACGACCGGCGCACGGGUGAGUAACGCGUAUCCAACCUGCCCCCAACUAGGGAAUAACCUUGCGAAAGUAAGACUAAUACCCUAUAAUUUCCUCAGAUGUCAUCUGACGAGGAAUAAAGAUUUAUCGGUUGUGGAUGGGGAUGCGUCUGAUUAGCUUGUUGGCGGGGUAACGGCCCACCAAGGCAACGAUCAGUAGGGGUUCUGAGAGGAAGGUCCCCCACAUUGGAACUGAGACACGGUCCAAACUCCUACGGGAGGCAGCAGUGAGGAAUAUUGGUCAAUGGGCGGAAGCCUGAACCAGCCAAGUAGCGUGCAGGAUGACGGCCCUAUGGGUUGUAACUGCUUUUAUACAGGAAUAAAGUUAGCCACGUGUGGUUAUUUGUAGGUUCUGUAUGAAUAAGGACCGGCUAAUUCCGUGCCAGCAGCCGCAGUAA